CCUCAAGCUAUAAAGUCUAUCCUUUGUUACCACUGUCAAUUCAAAUAUAACUAAAAAACUCUAACCUUCUAUCUCUUCACAUGUGGUUGGGAGAAGGGGAAAAAACUAGUUUUCACAGCUCACGGGAAGCUCUGUUGAAAAUUUUGAAGUAGAGUUAUUUUCCAUUACCAGAAAAAAGAAAUGGUGAGUUUCAAGAUUUUCAAUGUGUGAACAAUUUUUUCUUACUGUUUUUGGGUCAUUUCAAUGUCCAAUCUUGUACCUUUCCUAUGCCCUCUUCUUCUUCUUCUUCUUCUUCUUCUCUUUCUCUGCUUCUCACUGAAAGCCUAAGACUAUUUUCGUUACCAUCUAAACCCCACAUUCCUAUCGGCUACAAAUUUUGUUCUUAGGGUUAAUUUUUCUCGAUUACUUCGCCUCUUUCUACCUCCUCGAGCCGUGAUCUUUCUUCAAAAGCAAUUACCCCUUUUCCCCUGUUCUGUUGUUUUUGUUCUAAACUUACUGUUGUGAUACACACACACACACACAUAUAUAGUGUUUUCUUUUGCGUCAGGAAGGAUUUCACUCAAAGGAAAAGCAAUCUUUCAUUUGCACAAUCGUUUUCUAAGUGGGGAAAAAGCCUUUUCUCUUUGUUUUCUUACAUAGGUUUUGCUGUUCAUUCUGUUUUGGCCUCUGUUCUUUUGCAUCUUUCUCAACUUUUUUAUUCUUCUGAAUAAUAUGGGGUUUUCCCCUUGGAAAGUUGAUGGGGUUUGGUUAGAUUGUGUCAGAAACAUCUGGGUUUUGCUACAAGAGUUGAGUAUUUUAUAGUUCAACUUCAAUUAUAAUAAUACUUCUUUGAGGACUUUCAUCGAACACCUUGCGGAUAAGUUUGUACUCCACUUUUUCUUGUUUUUUUGUUGCUUCUUCCAUUUGAGAAAUUAUGGGUUGUAUCCAUACAAAAUGUUGCUGUCGCUACCCAAAAUCGUUGGUUGGAGAAUCUCAAGACUUUCGACAAGGGGUUCCUUACUGUCUUCAAGAUAAGAACACUGUGAUAGAGAAAUCAUUGGAGAUGAUUCCUGUUGCUUCCCACAACUAUCAUUUGGAAUAUUUGGUUCUAGCUCAGCGUGGUUACUACCCUGAAUCUCCUGAUAAAGAAAAUCAAGACAGUUUCUGCAUUAGAACAAACGUUCAAGGUAACCCAAAUGCUCAUUUCUUUGGUGUUUUUGAUGGACAUGGUCAAUUUGGAAUGCAGUGUUCAAACUUUGUGAAAGAUAGACUAAUAGAAAAGCUAUGUAAUGAUCCUACAUUGUUAGAUGAUCCUAUACAAGCUUAUAAUUCAGCAUUUUUGUCUACAAAUGAUGAGUUACAUACAAGUGAGAUUGAUGAUUCCAUGAGCGGAACGACUGCAAUUACAGUUCUUGUUGUUGGGGAUACUCUCUAUGUAGCUAAUGUUGGUGAUUCAAGAGCUGUAAUUGCAGUUAAAGAAGGGAAUUGUGUUCUAGCUAAGGACUUGUCAAAUGAUCAAACACCAUUUAGAAAAGAUGAGUAUGAGAGAGUUAAGCUUUGUGGGGCUAGAGUUUUGAGUGUUGAUCAAGUGGAAGGACUCGUGGAUCCUGAUAUUCAGUGCUGGGGUGACGAAGAAAGUCAAGGCGGCGAUCCGCCUCGGCUGUGGGUUCAAAACGGAUUGUAUCCUGGGACUGCAUUUACUAGGAGUAUUGGUGAUAGUACUGCUGAGAAAAUUGGUGUAAAUGCUGUUCCUGAGGUCUUAGUUCUUCAGCUUAAUCCCAAUCAUCUUUUCUUUGUGGUUGCUAGUGAUGGAGUUUUCGAGUUCCUUUCAAGUCAAACUGUUGUUGAUAUGGCAUCAAGCUAUGCAGAUCCUCAAGAUGCUUGCACUGCCAUUGCUGCCGAGUCGUACAAAUUAUGGAUGGAACAUGAAAAUCGAACCGAUGAUAUAACGAUCAUUGUUGUUCAAAUCAAAGGCUUGUCUAAUGUGCUGAUAAUCCUUCCAGCACUGGUCUGGAGACUGCUUCUUCGAGAAUUGAUUUCUCAGAUCUACCCACUGAACCGAACUCUCAACCUGUUGCUGUGACAAAUCGAAACCCAGCGAUCGUGGUUCCAAUGCUGAAUAAUCAGACAUCUUUAUAAUGACUUCAAUGUUGCUAUAACAUUCCUCCACCAGCAGAAGAGACUUGUAAAUGAUCCUGAAAGUUGGAACAAAUACUCAUCUUCCAGCUUAGCAUUGGACCAACUAAGUUGAUAAAGACAGGGAGGUUUGGUAUCUUAGACAUGGAAAAAUGGAUGGAUUGUUCUCUUCCAAAUUCAUGAUAGAGAUUGAAAAUGAAAAAUCUACAGAUCCCAUUAAAAGGACAAGACAAAGAAAGGGAAUUUAAUGAGGUGGGUUAACUUCAAAGCUCAAUGAUAAACAAGUUUCAGACCCCACUUUGUUACCUUGUCUCUUCAUUUCUUGCUGGCAUGCUAAGGUAGAAGAUGUUGUAAAUAGCAAAAAAAAAAAAAAAAAAAAAAAAAAAACUAAUAUAUCCUCUUUCUUUUUCUGUUUGCUUAAGAUAGAUCCCAUUGCUUGGAAAGUGUCAUGUCAAUGGUUUAGCUUGUUGUGAAGUAAACUUGUGGAUGAUUGUCUCAAACUCCUGGUCAGAUGGACCCUGAAAUUUUUCUAUAAUUUCAAUGUUUUAUGAGUCAAA